UGCGGAGAGGGUGUUGGUAUCCCGGCCCGGUCUCAUAAGCCGGUGCUUCGCAGGUGAACUAGGGUCUUCGACCCGUUAUCCCUUCCGAAAAACUCCAGCGAGCUGGACUUUUUCACAAGCGGUCAAAUCCUGCCUCCGCAACCA
rnacentral:tRNA from 1 species